rnacentral:rRNA from 1 species
GAUGAACGCUGGCGGCGUGCUUAACACAUGCAAGUCGAACGGAAAGGCUCCUGCUUGCAGGGGUACUCGAGUGGCGAACGGGUGAGUAACACGUGGGUGAUCUGCCCUGCACUUCGGGAUAAGCCUGGGAAACUGGGUCUAAUACCGGAUAGGACGAUGGUUUGGAUGCCAUUGUGGAAAGUUUUUGGGUGUGGGAGGACCUCGCGGCCUAUCAGCUUGUUGGGGGGGUAAUGGCCUACCAAGGCGUCGACGGGUAGCCGGCCUGAGAGGGUGUACGGCCACAUUGGGACUGAGAUACGGCCCAGACUCCUACGGGAGGCAGCAGUGGGGAAUAUUGCACAAUGGGCGCAAGCCUGAUGCAGCGACGCCGCGUGGGGGAUGACGGCCUUCGGGUUGUAAACUCCUUUCGCUAGGGACGAAGCGUUUUGUGACGGUACCUGGAGAAGAAGCACCGGCUAACUACGUG